UGAGGAACAUGACCUUCGGCGGGGGAUAGCCGGCCCAACGGCCGGGUAAUACCGCGUACGACCACAUGGGGACAUCCCUGAGUGGUGAAAGCAGCAAUGCGCCGAUGGAGUGCCUCGCGGCCUAUCAGCUAGUUGGUGAGGUAACGGCUCACCAAGGCAACGAUCCGUAGCUGGUCUGAGAGGAUGAUCAGCCACACUGGGACUGAGACACGGCCCAGACCUCCG
rnacentral:rRNA from 1 species